rnacentral:rRNA from 1 species
GCACUCUGGGACAAGCCUUGGAAACGAGGUCUAAUACCGGAUAUUACCCCUGGGGGCAUCCCUGGGGGUGGAAAGCUCCGGCGGUGCAGGAUGAGCCCGCGGCCUAUCAGCUUGUUGGUGGGGUGAUGGCCUACCAAGGCGACGACGGGUAGCCGGCCUGAGAGGGCGACCGGCCACACUGGGACUGAGACACGGCCCAGACUCCUACGGGAGGCAGCAGUGGGGAAUAUUGCACAAUGGGCGAAAGCCUGAUGCAGCGACGCCGCGUGAGGGAUGAAGGCCUUCGGGUUGUAAACCUCUUUCAGCAGGGAAGAAGCGCAAGUGACGGUACCUGCAGAAGAAGCACCGGCUAACUACGUGCCAGCAGCCGCGGUAAUACGUAGGGUGCGAGCGUUGUCCGGAAUUAUUGGGCGUAAAGAGCUCGUAGGCGGCUUGUCACGUCGGAUGUGAAAGCCCGGGGCUUAACCCCGGGUCUGCAUUCGAUACGGGCAGGCUGGAGUGUGGUAGGGGAGAUCGGAAUUCCUGGUGUAGCGGUGAAAUGCGCAGAUAUCAGGAGGAACACCGGUGGCGAAGGCGGAUCUCUGGGCCAUACUGACGCUGA